rnacentral:rRNA from 1 species
UACGAAGGGGGCUAGCGUUGCUCGGAAUCACUGGGCGUAAAGGGUGCGUAGGCGGGUCUUUAAGUCAGGGGUGAAAUCCUGGAGCUCAACUCCAGAACUGCCUUUGAUACUGAAGAUCUUGAGUUCGGGAGAGGUGAGUGGAACUGCGAGUGUAGAGGUGAAAUUCGUAGAUAUUCACAAGAACACCAGUGGCGAAGGCGGCUCACUGGCCCGAUACUGACGCUGAUGCACGAAAGCGUGGGGAGCAAACAGG